GGGAGAAAGGGUUCACCUGGGGCAAAAGGCGAAGAGGGGAGGAGAGGAAACCCGGGAAUAAAGGGAUCACAAGGAAACACUGGGCCAAAAGGGAAAAAGGGAGAACGAGGCCCGGAGGGAAGCAGAGGUCGGCCUGGGGAAAAUGGACUCAAGGGCGCUAAGGUG